rnacentral:rRNA from 1 species
AACGAACGCUGGCGGCAGGCCUAACACAUGCAAGUCGAACGCCGUAGCAAUACGGAGUGGCAGACGGGUGAGUAACGCGUGGGAACAUACCCCUCGGUUCGGAAUAACUCAGGGAAACUUGAGCUAAUACCGGAUACGUCCGAGGUUUUAAUCGGCCUUGGAGAAAGAUUUAUCGCCGGAGGAUUGGCCCGCGUCUGAUUAGCUUGUUGGUGAGGUGAUGGCUCACCAAGGCGACGAUCAGUAGCUGGUCUGAGAGGAUGAUCAGCCACAUUGGGACUGAGACACGGCCCAAACUCCUACGGGAGGCAGCAGUGGGGAAUAUUGGACAAUGGGCGAAAGCCUGAUCCAGCCAUGCCGCGUGAGUGAUGAA